UUGCUUACUUCAGCAGCACAUAGACUAAAAUUGGAACAAUGCAGAGAUUAGCAUGGCCCUUGUGCAAGGAUGAUAUGCAAAUUCAUGAAGUGAUCCAUAUUAAA